UUAAGUUCAGCGGGUAGUCCUACCUGAUUUGAGGUCAAGUUUGUCAAAGUUUUGUUGUGAGCAGCGCAAUCUGUUCAUGCGGCAUACCAAAGGCAUAGAUAAUUUAUCACACCUAUAGUAGCAGCUCAGAUGCCACUAAUGCGUUUCAGGGGAGCCGACCUUUAGUUCAAAGCCUGCAAAGACCCCCAACAUCCAAAGCC
rnacentral:misc_RNA from 1 species